rnacentral:rRNA from 1 species
UACGGGGGGUGCAAGCGUUACUCGGAAUGACUGGGCGUAAAGGGUGCGUAGGUGGUUUAUUAAGUUGUCUGUGAAAUCCCUGGGCUUAACCUAGGAAAGAAAGAUGAGACUGAUAGACUUGAGUAUAGUAGAGGGCAGUGGAAUUUCCGGUGUAGCGGUGAAAUGCGUAGAGAUCGGAAGGAACACCAGUGGCGAAGGCGGCUGUCUGGACUAAUACUGACACUGAGGCACGAAAGCAUGGGGAGCAAACAGG